rnacentral:rRNA from 1 species
UACGAAGGGGGCUAGCGUUGCUCGGAAUCACUGGGCGUAAAGCGCACGUAGGCGGAUUGUUAAGUCAGGGGUGAAAUCCUGGAGCUCAACUCCAGAACUGCCUUUGAUACUGGCGAUCUCGAGUCCGGGAGAGGUGAGUGGAACUGCGAGUGUAGAGGUGAAAUUCGUAGAUAUUCGCAAGAACACCAGUGGCGAAGGCGGCCCACUGGUCCGGUACUGACGCUGAGGUGCGAAAGCGUGGGGAGCAAACAGG